AUUUUUAUUUUGCUCUUAAAUGUCAAAAAAUUACUGUCAAGAGACAGGAAUGCAUGAGAUAGAAAUGGCUCAAACAUCUUCACAUGAAACACGCAUAUUCAAAUUUCAUUCACAAGUUUUGAAUCCGACAUCUACAGUUACAUAGUUAAAACUUUUCCAUUCAUAAAUCACAAUUUUUUUUUUUCUUUAAACAGUAGUUGCCAUUACAUAAGCAACGAACAACUUACUGCAUAUUAUUAAUUUCAUAAAUUCCGUAAUAUUUCGUUGAGUAAUAGCAACUUGGUUUUUUUUGUCUAAAUUUUC